rnacentral:rRNA from 1 species
AAUAGAUACCCCGGUAGUCCACGCCGUAAACGAUGCCAGCUCGGUGGCGUGGGUGCCCUUUUGGGCGCCUGGCUGCCUUAGCUCACGCGGUAAGCGUGGCCGCCUGGGGAGUACGAGCGCAAGCUUAAAACUCGAAACGGAAUUGACGGGGGGCCCGCACAAGCAGCGGAGCGUGUGGUUUAAUUCGACGCAACGCGAAGCACCUUACCCAGGGUUGACAUGCAGCUGCAUCCCGGUGAAAGCCGGUGGCCUUCGAGGGUGCUGCACAGGUGCUGCAUGGUUGUCGUCAGCUCGUGUCGUGAGAUGUUGGGUUAAGUCCCGCAACGAGCGCAACCCCUAUCGUCAGUUAUACGUGUCUGACGAGACUGCCGGCUUUCGGCCGGAGGAAGGCGGGGAUGACGUCAAAUCCCGCAUGGCCCGUUACCCCUGGGGCGACACACACGCUACAACGGCCAGGACAGCGCGUCGCGAGCCGGUAACGGUCAGCCUAAUCGCCAAACCGUGGUCCCAGUGCAGAUCGGGGCUGCACUCGCCCC